rnacentral:siRNA from 1 species
ACAGCUAGUUGCCUAGUUCAUAUC